CCAGGAGGACUUGCAUCGGCUGAUGCCAUUUCUUUCGUUUCGUGACCAUCGGUUGCGCGCCCAUUGCUAAUUGGCAACAUGGUAUAGUUAUGUCUCCUCAACAUUUUUCUUGCAAUGAAGUUUGAAAUUAGUAGUUAUUGAAUCUCAGCAAUAGCGUUGUUGAACAUGUAUGAAGUUGGAGAUUUAUGGGUAGAAAAAGAAUAAGGAUUUGU
rnacentral:lncRNA from 1 species